rnacentral:snRNA from 1 species
GUGCUCGCUUUGGCAGCACACAUAAUAAAAUUGGAAGGAUACAGAGAAGAUUAACAUGGCCCCUGUGCAAAGAUGACAUGCAAAUUCGUGAAGCAUUCCAUUAAAAA